GGCCGGCGGACGGGCGCCUCUGAGGGGCCGCGAGGGCGCGGCGUGCCCGGCUCCCGUCUUCUCCCUCCGGCACCUCGGCCUGGCGGCUCCUGACCGCGUGCGCGGCUCGUUGCGCAGCUGUACGGCCGUGGCCCUGAGAGAGCCGCCAAGCUUAACUUUCAGCAGAGAGGAACAUGUUGCCAGUAAACUGAGGAAUCAACAGUGCUGAUCUUUAGGGAGUCUCUCUUACGCUUGUCUACAAUCUAAAAUGAAGAUACGAUCCCUAACAGGAGAAACACAUAUGGAUGCAAAAAACCUGUGAGACUAACCCAGGAAACACUGGACUAAAACAAGAAAAGAUAUUCCAGCUUCACCUCAAGCAGGUUUGGAGGCUGUGGCUCCCUACCCUAUCAUAGUUACACUUAAAUUUACCAGUGGUGAUGAAAGCCAUAUUUCCUUUUUUAGUUAAAAAAAAAAAUCCUAUUGACUAUAAGACUUCUAACCAUAAGGUAUUUCUUGAAACUGGGUCAUUUUGUCAAGACUAGGACAACUAUACGAGAACAUCAGAGGUGGGAGAAGGAAGUGUUAAAAACAAGGAGCGAGGAACAGCAACCACUUAAUCACAGGAAAUGAUUCACCAAAAUAAUUGAUGAAUUUUAGAAUAGUCACAGGUUGGCCUGUGAGGGAGCCAGAAUGAGGGAGAAAAUACUGAUGCAAAGAGUGGCAGAGAUACAACAGAACCUGCCUGCUUCAGUAACAGCAGAGGAGCCAAGCUGACUUUGCAAAGGAGUGACCACCUUGGUGGAGUAAGUUGACCUGGCUACCUAGCAAGUACGAGCACUAGUGAAAGAAAAUGUGCUGUCUGAAAGAAUGAUGCCUGUAAAAAUAAAUGCAAUAACUCUACAGUUUGAACUACUGUGUUUUGGUGCAGCGGUACUGGGGUCAGCAGUGCUUAUUCUUCCUUGCAUUUUCUAAAACGUGCGUGGAAAUGGUAUAGACUUGGCAAAGUGAAGGUAAUUCUCUUUUAAAAGAGAGUUCCUGAAGCAGUCUGCUGUAGCUGUGUGCUUUCUUUUCUAAAAAAGGGUUGGAAACCAAAUAGUAUCCAUUGCGUUGUAGUCUAUAUAUUGUUAAGUGUAGGUGGAAUUUCUUGUUUACCUUUUUUAUUGCUAUUGUACACUUAUCAGUAUUUCAAUGACUUUUCCACACCAAGCCUUUAAUUCUUUUUCUGAUGAUGCGAUUGCCGAUUGCACUGUUUGCCUUGCACUCCCCCACUCGCACAUUAAAUUAGUUUACAACUGUUUGCCCUGGCCUGAUUUUGACAUCUGCUGAAUCAAUUACCUGAAUCGCUAGCAUCUUUUUGAAGCUCAGGGCAUUGCUUUCUUUGUUUUUCUCCAAACUCGAGGGACUUGAAGGAUUUAUAACCACUCACUCGGUUUUUAGAGUUACAUUUUAUUCAGUGUGAGUUUUUUUCGGGGUCUGCAGUCCUUGCCUCUACAAACGGGGAAGCGAACUGCCGCCACCAGUCCGCAGAGGCCCUCGAGUCCCGCUACCCGCUGGGAGCCGUUUCAGUUUCUGCGUGGCGUUGUUUGAGGAUCUGUCUUCCAAAUUUUCUUCUUUAACCCCGACAGCGUGUCCGUACGCACACGUACAGCCGUACCAAGGCUGAAGAGUGCCAGCUGCUGGCUCUCAGGGUGCUGACGGCGCUCCCGCCCGGCGCUCCUUCUGGCACCGCUACACCCCGACUUCGGUGCGGCUCGGCGGGGAGCAGAAGCGGCGAACGCAGCGGAAAGCGGCGACUGCGCGCGUGGUGCAGCGCGGGACGAGGCGCGGCGCCACGGCGGGGCCGGGAGCGCAGGGCGGGGGAGCAAUAGAACCGCUCCUUCCCUCGGCCGCGGUCGGUUCUGCUUCUCGCCGGGUCGCUGCCCGCGCUCCCGUGCGCUGUCACACGCACCCCAGGCGGGGGCUGCGCCGUAACCGCCGCUGGGAACCGCGCGCUCGCACCGAGGGGCCCCGG